GUUCAAUCUUGAACUUAAUUAAGUCGUUUUAGCAAAGUUAGACCGUAUCGACAUUUAGAUAUUAAUGGGAUAAUGCAUAUCUCUAAUCUAUUUUCAUCAGUGAUAGAAUACUUUUCAAAGUUGAUCAAAGUACUGAAAAUAUGCAAGCAUGUAGUAGCUGUAGUAAACAAUAAUUUGCACAUUGAUAACCGCUUAUAAUACGUCUUUUCUGCUAUCUCUACUGUUUUUAAUCAGACACAAGUUCGAAACAAACAAAAACUGGUUAUAUCUUAUAAAAAGAAUUCCAAACUCAAACCAAUGGAAGGGAUCAAGUAAAUGGUGG
rnacentral:lncRNA from 1 species